CAAAUAAAAAAAACAAGACCCACGUCCCGUCUCCCAGUCUCCCCCACCUCUCUCUCCCGAUCCAUCCUCUCUCUCGAUCUCGCGAGAAAAAUCGCCACCUCGCCUCCGCCACUUCAACAACCGUCGCUUCCAUAGACUACGUCGACAGCGUCUUAGGAGGUUGACCCCUGCGGGGAAGUUGGCGGGAGCUCGCGGCCGACCAGAUCCAGUGCAGCGCCGCCGAUGUCUAGGUGGAAGAUGAGCGCGAGCUUCCGGGGUCAGCAUACCGCCGGGGAGGAGAGCAGACGGAUGAGAGGGAGGCUCUCCAAGGAGGAAGCCGACCAGCUUGUCACCAGGGGAAGCCGACCAGCAUAUAUAUAGGCAUGGGGUGGACUAUCUUUGAGAUCCUGCGGUACAUGUCGGAGCAUAACUGGUCGGUGUACGAGGAGGCCCUCAAGGCCAAUCCGGUUCUUGGCAAGAUGAUGAUCAUCAGCGUCGUCUACUCCUUCGGCGACUGGAUAGCCCAGCCCAGGGUGCUCGAGCGCGACGACACGCCUACUGAGUUCCUAGCGCUCGCGAACGCCGAAGUUGGACGCGCCCAUGCAUGCAUUUUAGAUCCGAGGACGGCAUCGUGAACGUACGCACUUAGUUGCUCCCUCAGCAGCAGUUGAUCCACCUGGGGUUCUACGUGAGUUCCUCCGUCCCCUGGCAGCGAGGCAGCAGGUCCCCGUCCCCCCUCUCCGUCUCCGGCAUGUUGAUCCCGGUGGCGUCACAGCGGUGGCAUGUGUGGUGUCAUGUCAUAAUAAGGUAGCAUCUGUUCUUUCCCCACCCUAAUUUUUGUGGUCAGCGUCCGGAGCCCAACCUACCAAUCGUUGUCCCCAAACCUCACUGACUUCUUAUGUGGGUGCUCUUUCUUCCCCCUCUCUCGUUUCACUUGACGCUGAUAGCUGAUUGCUAGAAUCCUCGGUUGUGCUCUUGUCUUCUAAAUUUGGCAUGGUAUGCAUUUGCUUGAGAUGAGGGUAUGGGAUGGAGGUGGCAAUAAUUUCGAGGUUGUGGUUUAUUAGGCUUAUAAUUUCGACAUGAUUAAUGAUAUGAACCGUAUGUUCUGUUUUCCAUAAUAUUGGUUUUUUCUAUGCAAUAUGAGGCUAUGUUUCGAGUUAUUAUUAUCUAUUGCCUUGCAUUCGAUGGCUGUACAGUAACAUGCUCUCUGAGAAAAGGUUAUGUUUCAUGUUAUUAUUAUCUAUUGCCUUGCAUUCGAUGGCAAAUUGACAACCGAUGUCAUAUCUUUGCCCACUCAUGAUGCCGAUAAAUAGUUCAAAAAAAUUAGAAAGACGUAUAUAUUUCUCUGUGCUAGCUACGUAUGUUUAUAAUGGUUUAUUUUCACCAAAAUUUUGCUGCACUUUGAUAGUAGACUAUGUGAUAAUUUGUAACAGAGUUCAGAGAAACUGGGCAACACACAGUUCCAAAAGUGUGCACUACACAUGGAAGAAAACACUGUAGUAUUAGCUGUUGUAAUCUAUGAAAUUUUGUACUGCGUGAGUGAGGUUAAGAAUGGCUAACUGAUUGAACUUGUUCACAACAUUAACAGUAAUCAUGAUGAACUUAGUAUUCCUGACUUUCUAUUUCAUGUUGUUUUCUACUGUAGUCCUAUUUGCAGGUUUUUACAGAGGAAUUAGUUUAGGUCUUACUGGUUCACUUGCUACAUCUGAAACGUAUUUUGUUGUUAUUGUUACUGAAUCAACUAAGACAUGGCUGGAGCACACUAAUCCUAAUCUAAGAGGCCAUUUCUCUCACUUAUUUGCUGGAGGAGUUAAGAGAGAAAAUAUUUUUUAUGACUAUUGUGUUUUCUUUCCGGAAAAUCUGCAUGACGCGUCGUAAAAUUUAUACUGGUUCUCAGCAUGUUACUAGGAUCUAGCUGCACAAAUGGAUUUUUGUAUGUCCUGCUUGCAUUGUUGAGGAAAUUGUUAACUGGUAGUUGUUCGGUUGGCUGGUGAGUAGGGGAUUAAUCGGCUAAUCGGCAAGUUAAUCGGCCAUUUAAUCAACUAAUCGGACGAUUUAUCGGUUUUAAGGCUACUCGGUGACCCUACGAGUAGGGAUUAAUCGGCAAGUUAACUGGUUAAUCGGAUGAAUUCUUGAACAGGGCCUGCAUGGAGUUCUCAAAAAGUUAUUCCUUGUCAUUUUGUAGUGCCACCAAUACAUUGGGUCUUUGUAUAUUAAAACCUUUCCGGUCUCUGUUUUGGCUCAUGUAAUACUUACCGAUACGAUUUACUUGUUCAUCAGAAUAAUGUGUUGAUUCCUUGACACAUCAUAAGCUUUUUUUCAAGCUCAUUCCAGGAGAUACACUUGCAUCUUUUAUCUAUGUGAUGUGCCUUGUGAAGUUCUGAAACAAGGAAUGCAUGACCAAGGCUCCAACAAAUCAUCAACACUAAAUGCUACAGAAGGAAAUGAUCUGUGCCAUCUGUUUUAUCUAGAGAGAUCAUGGUGUGAAGGGACUCAAUAUAGGGUACUGGUACUGAGUGCUUGUUGCUAUAACAUAUUUCUUCUGUUUUCUUAUAGAGAAAUAAAUGAGUUCUUUCGGCCCAACAAAAGAAAACAUAUAGUAUCUUCAAGGAAGCAGCAUUUUGAGUCAACAAAUUUUUCCCCCAUGCCAAAAUGGAAUCCAUGGUAGUCUAGCAUACUCGAAUACCGUGAUACAAGUAGGAGUAUCAAAUACAAGAAAUUUCUUUUUUAUGCGCACAUUCUUGGAAGCAUGAGUGUAUGUUCAUGGAGAAAACAUGGUCAAUUUUUGUGUAAAAAACUGAUAAUGUUCAAUACAUGUUUAGCAUGGGCAGCCAGACUUCUGUUUGCUCCGCCAAACAAAACCUGGUAACAAUGGGUUGGAAAGUGGACAAAGAGGAAAAGAGAACUGAGAAGAAGUGCCAAAUGGUCUGCUUGGAGUUAGGGGAAUUCAAAGUGCAUUUGUGGUUAUUGUUUCUGCAUUAUGCUUGUAUUCACAAAUUGUUCGGCAAAAAUGGAAGCAACUGUGUAAUGGUCAAAGCAUAUCAUCAAGGACAAAUAGCUAAUCAGAAUUACUUCUGUUUUUAUUUGCAUAUGAUGCCAAUAGCUUUACUUGAAACACAUCUUGAAGUUGAAGUGACAUCUUGUUGUUUUGGGGUAUUAUGUGACUAUUUUUUGUACAAUGUGAAAGAAACUUAAAUUACAUGAGGCGAAUGUAU